UACAGAGGUCCCGAGCGUUGUUCGGAUUUAUUGGGCGUAAAGGGUGCGUAGGCGGCGGAGUAAGUUGGGUGUGAAAUCCCGGGGCUCAACCUCGGAAUUGCAUUCAAUACUGCUUCGCUCGAGUACUGGAGAGGAGGCUGGAAUUUACGGUGUAGCAGUGAAAUGCGUAGAUAUCGUAAGGAAGGCCGGUGGCGAAAGCAAGCCUCUGGACAGUUACUGACGCUGAUGCACGAAGGCCAGGGGAGCAAACGGG
rnacentral:rRNA from 1 species